rnacentral:lncRNA from 1 species
GCUAUAUAUGCAGCUGCAUAAUUUUGACAAAGAAAAAUUAAAAAUGUGCAAGUAACAAAUAGAGCCUAAGUUCACAACACAGCAGCAUCAGCAAAUGCAAAUCCCAGAUCAAAUAUUAUGAGGCAAGAGAUGAUUCCUAAUAACUGUAGCAACCCAUAGCAAUGAAACCGAGGAGGCUAAUUAAGGGCUUUCUAGAGCUUGACAAUUUCAGGAAUAUGAACUGGGUAACGAUCAAUGCAAACCAAGGGUCCGAAUAACCCAAUUGCGCCAAAUUAAUUAUAACCUGAAUUGACCCGAAUUGAUCUGAAUAACCCGAAUUUAAUCCGAACCCGAAUUAACCCGAAUCCGAUCCGA